rnacentral:tRNA from 1 species
CAAAUGCCAACACUUAUUGGCAUUCGCUUGGUGGUU